rnacentral:tRNA from 1 species
GCGCGGGUGGUGGAAUGGCAGACACGCUACUUUGAGGGGGUAGUGGGGCAACCCGUGAGAGUUCAACUCUCUCCCCGCGCACCA